UUUGUUCCCUCCCUCCACAUAGUGGCAGACACAGCAGUGAACAGCGAGCACUCAGCACUGCGGGAUUCGAGCCUUAAGACCCCCAGGGAAAAGCUCUCAUCUGUGUCCCUCUCUAGUGCAGAACACCUCAGUGAGGGUCUGCCGAAGAAAAGAAAACAUUCUUUGGGUUUCUCUCGCAGCCGGCGUCGCUGCCAGCUGGUGACACACACCUGUAUGCAGGUACGGCCCCGGUGCUGCCACGGGAACCAGCUGGAAUUCCUCAUCAUGCCCAGGCAAGUGGCUCUGUAUUCUCCAGUCCCAGGACUGUUAAUUUACUGUGAUUGCAUGCAGCACACUAUAUCCCCCGAUUACCGUGCUGCAUUGGAGUGACACGCCCAGGACACGCCAAACCUGAAACAGAGCAAGCGCCUCAUCAGCUAUGAGCAGCAAUUCCACUGGAGCCGCUGUUCAGACCCCCGAUGAGGAGGUUCCCUUGGACUCGGAUCACCAUUCUGGCGGUCGAGUCAAGAAGUACCGGCUGCUGGCUAUUUGCAGCAUCAUCUGUGGAGUGUCCUGCAUCGGCAUUUUGUCUCUAGUCAACUCAGUCAAGGCACAAGAGAGGAGAACGAAAGACCCUGAGAAGGCCCAGGAGAACUCUCGCUUGGCUAGAAAGUACGGCCUCCUUGCCAUCGGCCUUUGGGUCACCAUUAUUGUUCUCACCCCGCUUCUGAUGGCGCUACUUUCAUAUAUUCUCAGAAAGAUAGAAUAACGCUCUGCUGCAAAGAGACAAAGAAUGAGCCGUUAAGUCCGCAUUUGUUCACGUUACCGUGGAAACCCUACUCCCUCUCAAAUCCCAUUAACCUGAUACACUGUCACGGGAAAUGAACUCGGCCCAGCUCGCUUCAACUCGACCUUAUGUGCACAGUGGCCAAACUCCCCAAAGAAUUACCUUUCAUGCCAUCAAAUGGCUCCUCCUUUGAAUCCCGUGGAAUUCUUAUUUUCGUCAACGGUGCUACAACGUGGAGGACAAGAACAAGACACCUGCAAUUCUUUAUUGAAUUUUACAUGACAGCGAGGAAAUGCCAAAUGCUCAUGUUUUACACAGUCCGCUCAGCAAUGGACAAAACAGGGGACAUGUCCUUCGCUUUGUGAGCAUCAAGAGAAAGGUACUGAAAAUAUGUGCCUUCAGGAUCGGUACUUAGAAAACUCCACCACCACAUGGACACAUCAUGAAUGGAGAGCACAAAUUUAUUUUACCGCAACAUUGAACAUAAGCUAUCAAUCUUCACUUAAAUCAACUCAAGUAUUUGUCUUUUUGCACACUUUUUUUGUAUUCAUUUUUGUAUUAACUCAUUUGUAACUUUCAAGCUUUGAUACUUUGCUAGAACUUUAUAAAGUCACUGUUACAUUCUUUAUUAAACAUUGUUAGUUUGUGCUUUUUUAACCCACUUUUACAA